UAAGGAAUAUUGGACAAUGGACGGAAGUCUGAUCCAGCCAUGCCGCGUGAAGGAUGAAGGUCCUCUGGAUUGUAAACUUCUUUUAUAGGGGGCGAAAAAGGGCCAUUCUUGGUCAACUGACGGUACCUUAUGAAUAAGCACCGGCUAACUCCGUGCCAGCAGCCGCGGUAAUACGGAGGGUGCAAGCGUUAUCCGGAUUCACUGGGUUUAAAGGGUGCGUAGGCGGGUAGCUAAGUCAGUGGUGAAAUCCUGGUGCUUAACACCAGAACUGCCAUUGAUACUAAUUAUCUUGAAUAUUGUGGAGGUUUGCGGAAUAUGUCAUGUAGCGGUGAAAUGCUUAGAUAUGACAUAGAACACCGAUUGCGAAGGCAGCAGGCUACACAUAUAUUGACGCUGAGGC
rnacentral:rRNA from 1 species